rnacentral:rRNA from 1 species
AUUGAACGCUGGCGGCAGGCUUAACACAUGCAAGUCGAGCGGAGAUGAGGUGCUUGCACCUUAUCUUAGCGGCGGACGGGUGAGUAAUGCUCAGGAAUCUGCCUAUUAGUGGGGGACAACAUUCCGAAAGGAAUGCUAAUACCGCAUACGCCCUACGGGGGAAAGCAGGGGAUCUUCGGACCUUGCGCUAAUAGAUGAGCCUCAGUCGGAUUAGCUAGUUGGUGGGGUAAAGGCCUACCAAGGCGACGAUCUGUAGCGGGUCUGAGAGGAUGAUCCGCCACACUGGGACUGAGACACGGCCCAGACUCCUACGGGAGGCAGCAGUGGGGAAUAUUGGACAAUGGGCGGAAGCCUGAUCCAGCCAUGCCGCGUGUGUGAAGAAGGCCUUUUGGUUGUAAAGCACUUUAAGCGAGGAGGAGGCUACCUGGAUUAAUACUCUAGGAUAGUGGACGUUACUCGCAGAAUAAGCACCGGCUAACUCUGUGCCAGCCGCCGCGGUAAAAC